GGUGAACGCUGGCGGCGUGCUUAACACAUGCAAGUCGAACGGAAACGCACAAGCUUGUUGGUCUACUCGAGUGGCGAACGGGGAAGUAACACGUGGACGACCUGAUCUGCACUUUGGUAUAAGCCAAGGAAGCGAGGUCUAAUAUCGGAUAGGAUCACACUUUGGAUGGUGUGGUGGAAAGUUUUACGGUGUGGGAGGAGCUCGCGGCCUAUGAGCUUGUUGGUGGUGUCAUGGCGUAGCAAGCCGUCGACGGGUAGCCGGCAUGUGAGAAUGUACGGCCAGUUUGGACUCGAGAUGCGGGCCGCAGUGCUGAGGGAGGGAGCAGUGGCGCAUGUUGCACACAGGGCGCAAGCCUGAGGCAGCGAGGCCGCGUGGGGGAAGACGGCCUUCGGGUUGUAAGAACCUCUGGCGAGGGACACAGCGUUUUUGUGACGGUACCUGAAGAAUAAGCACCGGCUAACUACGUG
rnacentral:rRNA from 1 species